rnacentral:sRNA from 1 species
GGAGGGUGCAGAUAUUCGAUUUAACGUGACCACCGAGGAUGUCAAACUCGACCAAAGCAACGGCUGGACAGGUGGAGGUAGCCGAGUGGCCAGGGAACACCACGGCCGGUCACCCAAUACAACUUCAGAAAAUUGGCUGCAAGCUCGCUCACGGACCCUGAUGGGGACAGUACCAAGGUCGCUGACAGGGAAGCUUGGGCGCGCACGAUUCUGCUUCCGUCAAGUUCUAAUACAGUUUACAAGUUGAUUAAGAAAGAAAAGAAGAAGAAAAAGAAAUUAGAAGAAUAUUGAAGAUUGCAUUAUAAUGAAGCACAGAGUGGAAUAUCAUUAGAGGUUUCACAAUUUUGGGAUGGAAUUGUGAGAACGAGG